rnacentral:lncRNA from 1 species
CGCUUCUUCAACAAAUGCAGCCACCUCGGUAGCUCGCUAGCCAACAAAGUCUGAACAUUCAAGUUCUUUAGACACUUUCCAGGUUUAAUUGCAACUGUGAUUUAAACAUACUUAUGUGUAAACAACUAGCUACCCCAUUUAAUUUAAUAUUUACGUUGCAACUAUCUGGCUGGUUAAGUUAGCACUAGCCUAGCUAGCUAACAUCCCCGACCAUGCGCUCACUAAGCUACUCUCCUCCUGCUAAAGAGGAGGUCUGUUGGACGGAGAAAGAAGCUCUGGGGCUGAACGUUGUCGUGAAAGAGGAGAAGGAAGAGGAGGAUGUCACAGUAAAACAAGAAGUAGAGGGUGAGGCUGUUACCGUGAAAGAAGAAGAGAAAGACGUUUCAGUGAAAGAAGAGGAAGACGCGUUCAGAGUGAAAGAGGAGGAGGAUGUUACUGUGAAGGAAGAGGAGGAAGUGAAAGAAAAUGAAAACGUUUUUGGAAUGAAGGAUGAAGAGGGGGAGAUUACUGUCACAUUAGAGGAGGACGAAGAAGAGAAGACUGGAGAACUGAUUAACACCAGUAAAUACAGAGAGAUACUUAACUAUCGUGGAUCCCUCUGGGGAGCCUCAACAACCUCGUGAUGCUGAAGAGGCAGAGAAGAGUCUCUCCACAUUAGAACACCUCAAUAAACACCUGCAAAGACCCACAGGGAAGAGACCUCACUGCUGCUCAGAGAACACACACAGGAGAGAAACCUUAUAGCUGUGGUCAAUGUGGGAAGAGUUUUACUCAGUCAAGCAGCCUGAUAUCACACCAGAGAAUACACACUGGAGAGAAACCUUAUAGCUGUGAUCAAUGUGGGAAGAGUUUUAGUCAAUCUGGCUCUCUGACUCUACACCAGAGAACACACACAGGAGAGAAACCUUGUAGCUGUGAUCAAUGUGGGAAGAGUUUUAGUCAAUCUGGCUCUCUGACUCUACACCAGAGAACACACACAGGAGAGAAACCUUGUAGCUGUGAUCAAUGUGGGAAGAGUUUUAGUCAAUCUGGCUCUCUGACUCUACACCAGAGAACACACACAGGAGAGAAACCUUAUAAAUGUGGGAAGAGUUUUGGUCGAUCUGCACAUCUGACUCAACACAAGAGAACACACACAGGAGAGAAAUAUUUUGGCUGUGGUCAAUGUGACAAGAGAUACUCUGAUAAAAGGCCUCUGAUCAAACAUCAGAAAAUACAUGGAGUUGUUUCAUGAUAUCAAUGAAAUAAUGUCACAAUGUAGAAUGUUUUAACAUUGUAGAAGGAGUAUUUUAAUGAUGUCACAAUGUAGAAUGUUUAAACAUUGUAGUAGGAGUAUUUUAAUGAUGUCACAAUGUAGAACCCUAAAAGUGACUAACACAAAAGGAGUUCUGUUACACUUACCACGUUAGUGACGCACAGGAAUCACAAUGCA